GAUCGACCCAGGUGAGGGACACCUAAAAAGACAGAAAUCGAAAGUCUGCUGUUUUGUGUUCACCCCACUUACGAUCCGCAGGAAAGAGACAGCCAGAGCAAUGAAGGGACCAUUCUCUUCUGGUUAUCUGAUCUCCGGCAUUCCCUGAAUUAGAUCCAUGGGGCAGAAAUGUUUUCUGGGAAAGAACGUGGUUUUUCUCCAUGACACCUUUUUUGGGGUUAUUGGCAAGUAUGUUUGUUUGAAC